CUCAGCCUCGUCUUCCAAGAUGUUCCCCUUUCCAAAGAGGAAUUCCCCAUUCACAGACUUUCUCCAGCAUUCGGGAGUGUAGGAGGAGCCCCAGUUCCCAGUAUUUUCCUUCAAAUAAUUACCAGCAGCAACAGUAUUAUUCACCUCAAGCCCAAACUCCAGAUCAGCAACCAAAUAGGACCAAUGGAGAUAAGCUCCGAAGAAGUAUGCCUAACCUAGCCCGGAUGCCAAGUACAACUGCCAUUAGUAGCAACAUUAGUUCUCCGGUCACCGUGCGAAAUAGUCAGAGUUUUGACUCAAGCUUGCAUGGAGCUGGAAAUGGAAUUUCAAGAAUACAAUCUUUUCCAUCACCGGGACAGCUUCAACACAGGGUCCACAGCGUGGGGCAUUUCCCAGUGUCUAUCCGACAGCCUCUUAAAGCCACAGCCUAUGUGAGUCCAACCGUUCAAGGCAGCAGUAACAUGCCUUUAUCAAACGGCUUACAGCUGUAUUCCAACACAGGAAUCCCCACACCGAACAAAGCUGCAGCUUCUGGGAUAAUGGGUCGCAGUGCACUCCCAAGACCUUCGUUGGCAAUAAAUGGGAGUAACCUGCCUCGAAGCAAAAUUGCACAACCUGUUAGAAGUUUUCUUCAGCCUCCAAAGCCUCUGUCUUCACUCAGCACUCUGAGGGAUGGAAAUUGGAGAGAUGGUUGCUACUAAUGCAGUUUUAUGUACCCUUGAAAAAUGGGAAAGAAGUAAAAAUGAGGGUUGUGUUACCUAGCUGGCUGGGUAGCAGUGGAUGUUGGGAUAUUCUUUCCCUUUUGUGUUUUAAUAUAUUUACUGCAUUGUUUCUCAAUGGACCAGUCACCAGAGACUAAUUAUUGCACUUAAAUAUUUGCCUGAGAUACUGCAACAUUCUCAAACCCAUGGUUGCAGUAUUGUGACACUUAGAUCUAGGAAGUUUUUGUAGAACUGCUCUGUACCUGAAUACUUUUUGAGAGAAUUAAGAUGUAUCAAUAAUGCUUUGCCAUAUGAGUUUUUUAAAGUAACUUGUUCAAUUUACUCACGUGUUCUAAACAUCUUUCCAUUACAUGUUCUGUAUUUUAAUACAUUGCAUAUUGACAACUAGGUUCUAUAAUGUAUGCUUUGAAAUUUACUUUUUUAUAGUUUACAGGAAUUUUAUUUUUUGUGCCUAUUUCUUUUUACACCUAUGUGAACCACUAUGGAACAACUUAAAUUUUGUGCCAUAAAAAUAUUUUUGUGGUAAGGUACUAUUUUUUUAGCUCUAGGGAUAUAUCAGCAAAAACACAUCAUGCAAUUUGAGACACAUAAUUUUGUGUUGAAUGAGCACAACAUAAUUUGAAGCAUUGCAAGGAGAUAACCAGACAGCAGAAUUAAAUGGUCCUGUCUUUUUCAUUUUUAAUUUAUUGUCAUACAUGGGUUUCAUAUUUAUAACGGCAUCAUGAGCUCAUUGCACUUAAUACCUGCAAUGUUUGCUACUGUACCACAAUUGAUUUUCAAUACUUUAUUACGAAGGAUGAAACUGUAAUGUUUUAUUAACAAUGCUUCUGGAAAUGAAUGCAUUUUAAAGCAAAUAAAUCUUUUUGAUAGACCUUUUACAAAAUCCAUUUGCACUAAUGAAUGCUUUCUUAUGGCAUAUAACUUAAUAUUUGUUACUGUGUACACUGCUGUUUUGGAAUGUUCAGAAAUAAAGACUCUAUUUCAGC
rnacentral:lncRNA from 1 species